rnacentral:lncRNA from 10 species
CUUGACCACUCAGCCUAGAGAAGGUUCUGGUCACGGUUUCCUUCCUUCAAAGCACUUGUCACAAGCAAUUUCUUCUCUGUUCGUCUCAUGGCCUAUCAGCUACCUCUUUCCCUGGACCACAAGAGUGAAGGCUUCACAGGGCAAGGACCUCUUCACCAUUGUCCCUCCAGUGCCUGGAAAGGGGGCCCUCAACCCAAUGUCUGUGGUGCAGGUGACAGAAGCUGCAGACAGUGCGUCCUGCACCAGGGCUGUCAGCAAGGAAGGAGCGACCCUCAGGCCACUUGUAUAGCGGUGCCUUAAGAGCCUGCCCAGGAGAGCCAGCUGCUGCCUCUGGGGACAGAUGGGAGGCCACUGCCCCAUCCCAGUGCUGCCCCAGUGCUGCUAUGGGCAAGGCAUCGGGGGGAACAUGC